CCCCCAAGCAGCUCAUAUAAUUUAUUAUUACAUCAAUGAGGUUUAUACAAUAAAAUACAGACCAAUGAAUAAUGAUAACAAAAAAACAAGACUAAACCAAGAAAGGAAUAAGAUGCCCCUCUCCAACUCCCGGACAACUCUUCAAAUCCCACGAAUCGACUAACUUUCUGCCACAAAUCUGUUAGCAUGGCCUAAAUGCACAAAAGAACAAACUAACAAAAUUCAUCCAAAGAUGUUUUUUUAAGGUUUAUAUUAGCCUUAUAAUCAAUUUUUUGCAACCAACGAGCAUAUCACAAUAGUUGAACCAAGCCAACAUAAACAAGAUAAGCGAAGUGACAGAUUAUACAUACCACAUCAAGCACAUUAUUUAUUAAAAAAAAAAAGCCAUAAGCAAAUAAUUUGUGAAGUUCAAUACUUAUUAAGGUAUUAUGGAAAACAUACCUCUUAGGAGUAAAAGCAAAGACACAAAACCAAAGUGGGAGAGCAUGAAAAAGCAGACCAGAGUCUUGAAUAAAAUCAAUAGAAGCUAGUCAAUCCCCAAAGCAGCAAUUGAAUAUAUGUUUUAAGAAUUUUCGAUGUUAAGCCGUAAGCAAGGGGAAUGUAAUCAUGUCAGCCCCAAUAGUAAAAGGGAAAUAUUGCUUAUAUAGUUGGGGAGAGUGGAGAAUUAAAAGGAAGAAAUAUGUAAGAAAAUCAAUCAGAGGUGGUAAGAAAGGAAAAUAAAAUAUGCUAAAAAUCAAUUAUCAAAACCGAAUCAAUUAAAUGAGACGAAAAUAUGCUUAACUUCCAUAGAUAUUUACAGAGUCUGUUAAAACCAAAAAAGCCAAGGAAGAGCCCACACGAUUUUCCUUCUUUGCAAAUUUUCACCAUAAAUAGACAAUAAUGAGACUAUAAAAUUAUUCAAAAAAUUAAGGAAAUUAACCGAUACUGCUCAAUCACACAAAUAUUUGCCAUAAAUAUUCGAUUACCAAAGUUGUCAACCUCCAACGCGUGAUUUGACUUCAAUUUCAAUAAGGGACCGAAUCAAUUAACAACAACUAGUUUGACAACCCGAUUUACCAAAAGAAAGAAUUUCCAGUCAAUCACAUAUGAUAAAAAAUUAAUCAAUAAUCAAGAACGUAGAUUAGAAUCAACGCCCAACAUUAGCAUCAAAAUCAAGCACAUGCAAAUUUGGGCGUUUUCACAUAUAUUGAUAUAGAUGAGAAGAUAAUCAUGUAUUUAAAGGAAUUAAACAAAACAUUCAAAGUUAGACAUAGCCAAUUUUAAAUCUAAGAAUCUGUUAAAAAGGAAAAAGAGUAGAAGAGGGUUUAGGCAAAACUUAAAACUGGAACCAACCUGAGACGGAUUUGUGAAUACGUCAUGCACUUUUAAAUGAUUUUUCGAUGAAUUUCAAUUGGAAUCACGGGCAGCGGCGGAACAAGGUGGCGGAUUGAUGGAGAUCACUGGUGGCCUGGUUUUGCUGGACAUCAGCCGACAGUGGAGUGGCGACGUGGUACUGUUGCUGGUCGUGGCUUGAGAGGAUGAGGCGGCGACGGUAGUUGGGUGUUGCUGGUCCAUCAGUGGCGGCGUUGGACUAGUGGCUGACGGCUGUUGGUGUCGUCACCGGCCAUGGUUGGUAGGCGUUCGCUAGAAAGAGAGAGAGAUGCGGCUUACAGAGAGAGAGAAGAGAGUAUGGCCGAAGAGAGAGAAAGACGUGGCUCUUUUGUUGUUUUUUUUGGAAAAUAGGAUUAGGGUUUGUUUUGUUUAAAAAGGUUUGUUUUGUUUAAAAAGGGAAGAAAGGAUGAUUUGAUCUCAGCCGUCGAUCGCAUGUGAUAAACGGUUGUGAUUAAAAUUAAGAAGAGGAGAUGAAAAUUGAUUAAAAAUUGAAUCAAAUUAAACUCAAAAAUAAGAUAAAAUUGAUAUUAAUCGGAUAUAAAAUGGCUAAAAAUUAAAUAAAU
rnacentral:lncRNA from 1 species